UACGAAGGGGACUAGCGUUGUUCGGAAUCACUGGGCGUAAAGCGCACGUAGGCGGAUGUGUCAGUCAGGGGUGAAAUCCCCGGGCUCAACCUGGGAACUGCAUUUGUGACUGCAGGGCUGGAGUCCGGGAGAGGAGGGUGGAAUUCCCAGUGUAGCGGUGAAAUGCGUAGAUAUUGGGAGGAACACCGGUGGCGAAGGCGGCCCUCUGGACCGGUACUGACGCUGAUGCGCGAAAGCGUGGGGAGCAAACGGG
rnacentral:rRNA from 1 species